AGUGGACUGACAUCUGAGCCCUCAGUAGAACUGAACUAGGUAGAGUGGACUAACAUCUGAGCCCUCAGUAGAACUGAACUAGGUAGAGUGGACUAACAUCUGAGCCCUCAGUAGAACUGAACUAGGUAGAGUGGACUGACAUCUGAGCCCUCAGUAGUACUGAACUAGGUAGAGUGGACUGACAUCUGAGCCCUCAGUAGUACUGAACUAGGUAGAGUGGACUGACAUCUGAGCCCUCAGUAGAACUGAACUAGGUAGAGUGGACUAACAUCUGAGCCCUCAGUAGAACUGAACUAGGUAGAGUGGACUGACAUCUGAGCCCUCAGUAGUACUGAACUAGGUAGAGUGGACUGACAUCUGAGCCCUCAGUAGAACUGAACUAGGUAGAGUGGACUAACAUCUGAGCCCUCAGUAGAACUGAACUAGGUAGAGUGGACUGACAUCUGAGCCCUCAGUAGAACUGAACUAGGUAGAGUGGACUAACAUCUGAGCCCUCAGUAGAACUGAACUAGGUAGAGUGGACUGACAUCUGAGCCCUCAGUAGAACUGAACUAGGUAGAGUGGACUAACAUCUGAGCCCUCAGUAGUACUGAACUAGGUAGAGUGGACUAACAUCUGAG